rnacentral:rRNA from 1 species
UACCUGCCCGGUGAAAAAUUUUAACGGCCGCAGUACCCUGACUGUGCAAAGGUAGCAUAAUCACUUGCCUUUUAAUUGGAGGCUGGAAUGAAUGGUUUGACGGAAUCCUACUGUCUCUAUUUCGUUAGACAGAAAUUAAUUUUCAGGUGAAGAAGCCUAAAUUUAAUCGAAAGACGAAAAGACCCUGUCGAACUUUAUGAAGAGUAUGGAAUCGUUAUUUGUAGUAUAAAUGUUUUUUGUAAUUUUCUUUUUGUUGGGGUGACAGAAGAACAAAUGAAGCUUCUUUUAGUUUUGUAAAUUGAUGAAUUAAAAAGAUCCAUAAAUAAAUUUAUGAUAAAAAGAUUAGUUACCGCAGGGAUAACAGCGUUAUUUCUCUGGAGAGUUCAAAUUGAAGGAGAAGAUUGCGACCUCGAUGUUGGAUUGAAAUUCCUAACAGGCGCAGAAGCUUGUUGGAGGAGGUCUGUUCGACCUUUAAAUUUUCACGU